UAAUAUAGUUAUGCAGUCACUUAUAAAAAAAGUUAUAAGAGGAAAGUCCGGACUCAUUGAGCAAAGUGCCAGUUAAUAACUGGGCAAAGAUUUUUGACGGAAAGUGCACAAGAAAAAAUACAAUCUAUUUUAUAGAUAAUGGUGAAAAGGUUUGGUAAAAGCAUACCACGUAUUUGGAAACAAAUUCGUUAUGUAAACCCCACUUUGAGUAAAACUAAAUAAGAAUUUCAAGAGCUCUAAAAAAAUUCUGGUAGGUUGCAUAAAUAUAUAUAGUAAUAUAUAUAUUAGAUAAAUGACUGUAAUUUGAACAGGAUCCGGCUUAUUGUAUAUUAAUAA
rnacentral:RNase_P_RNA from 1 species